UUGAAAUGAGAUCUUCCUCCUAGCAACAGUGGGUGUAACGCAGGAAGUGGAUCUUUCUGUACCGUCUUCGGCUUUGACACUUCCUGUCUCUCUCUCUCUCUCUCGUUCGCCAUUUCAGUUUAACAUCUUUGUUUCAUGCCGUUUUAACUCAUGUAAUCUGAAAGCUGAUGCAGGUGGAGACGCACCACCCUUAAUGCCCCGUGCCACACUGAUUAUUCUCAUUACACACACAACAUUCAGACCUCUGAAGCACUCCCACAUGACUGAGUACAGCCACCUGCUGGCAGAGCAGUGUAACAGCGCUUUUAAACGCACGCAUGUUCGCUCCAUCAGUUCUUCGAUGCGCUGUUACUGAUUCCGAUCAGUUACCUCUCCCACGAGAGCAUGCUGUGCACCACAACACCACACUAGCAGACGCUCUUAUCCAGAGCGACUUACAUAGCAUUUUACAUUGUAUCCAUUUAUACAGCUGGAUAUAUACUGAAGCAAUUCCGGUUAAGUACCUUGCUCAAGGGUACAACGGCAGUGUCCUUACCCGGGAAUCGAACCUGCGACCUUUCGGUUACAAGCCCAGUUCCUUACCCACUGUGCUACACUGCCGCCCGGCUCUUCAGCCCCGUGGCUGCUAUUAGAUAAAAAAUGUCUAGAGUCUGUGAUGUUCUCGUGUCAGGUUCUGAACUGCUGUGCUGCAGUAGGGCAUAUUUUUGGAUUCUGCACGAGAAUCAGCACAGCCGAAGCAAAGGCAUUCAUCCUCCGUUGUGCAACUGAAAUGCAGUACAAGAGCCAACAGAUACUACGUGCUGAGUGGUUUAUUCAGUUGCUGUAGAAUAACCACAAUCAGAAGUCACUUGCUGUUUUUUUUUUUUGUUUCGUUUUUUUCUGGGGGGUGGGUGGGUGGCGGUUGUAGAAUGUCUGGUUUGAUGUUUGCCAAUUCUUCUAUUCUGUAUGUUGGUUUGUUUUGUCUGAUAGUAGUAUCUGUGUAAAACGUUCUAUACGAAUAAAUCUGCAUUGAACUUCA